rnacentral:rRNA from 1 species
GACGAACGCUGGCGGCGUGCCUAAUACAUGCAAGUCGAACGCAGUGGGGACGGGUGAGUAACACGUGGGUAACCUCCCAUCAGAGGGGAUAACACUUGGAAACAGGUGCUAAACCGACAUUGAAGGAGUGACCCGCGGUGCAUUAUCUAGUUGGUGAGGUGACGCCUCACCAAGGCCACGAUGCAUAGCCGACCUAGGAGGUGGAUCGGCCAAACUGGGACUGAGACACGGCCCAGACGCCUCCGGGAGGCAGCAGUAGUGAAUCUUCGGCAAUGGACGAAAGUCUGACCGAGCAACGCCGCGUGAGUGAAGAAGUUUUUCGCAUCGUAAAACUCUGUUGUUAGAGAUGCGGUAUCUAACCAGAAAGCCACGGCUAACUACGUGCCAGCAGCCGCGGUAAUAC